CUAAUCAAGCACCAAAACAAUAUCGUUGACUUCCACGUUUCUCCGCAACUCGUUCCAUUUUUGUCUCUGUUGUAAAGAAGGCAAAUACUCACGAAGCCAACGUCGCCAGAACAGGUCAGCGAGAUAUUGCACCUGCCGCCAACGACGCACGCUACAGUUGUCGUUUCUCGAAAACUUUCCAGGUGGAAUAGAGGGUCCAGGAUGUAGCAGUAGUAGAUGGUUGGGGGUUAACGCUUCAAGAUCCUUUGGGUCGUCUGAUACUUUCGUUAUCGGUCGUCCGUUUACGAUCGAUUCAACUUCGCAAAUCAGAGUACUCAGCCCUUCGUCAUCCAUUGUUUGCUCCUUAAUUAACGCAUUAAACACCUUUCUCACCGCCCUAAUACAUCUCUCCCACACACCGCCGUGGUGGGAACCUGCUGGUGGGUUGAAUAUCCACUUGCUAUUUCUCUGCAACAGCGAUUCGUGAAUUUUCUGUUGAUUCCAUCCCUCGAUUGCUUCACGUAAUUCUUUCUCGCCUUUAACAAAGUUCCCUCCGUUAUCGGAGCGUAUUUCCACGGGAGUUCCUCUUCUGGACACGAAUCUUCGCAAAGCAUUCACAAAUGACUCGGUAUCUAACGAAUGAGCGACCUCGACAUGAAUCUCUCGAAUUGAAAGGCAUGUAAAUAUCACGCCAUACCGCUUUACGUUACUUCUUCCACGCCGCACCACGAUCGGUCCGAAGCAAUCGACUCUCACGUACGUGAAUGGUCUUUCACAUGGUACGACUCUGUCUUCCGGUAGAUUGGACAGUUUCUGCUGCAUGGCUGAUGCUUGCCUUCGUCUGCAGCUGAAACACUCGUUUGCGACCUUUCGUACAUUAGAUCUUCCGCCAAUGAUCCAAUGCUUCUGCCGAAUUAACGAAAAAGUAUAUUCGAGCUCAGAAUGAGCAGAUAUUCGGUGGUAAUGGCUAAUGAUGAGGUUGCUCACAUGCGUUUUCUUUGGCAAAAUGAUUGGAUGUUUCGCAUCAUGGUUGAGCGGAGCUCGUUUCAAUCGUCCUCCCACUCGGAGUAGGCCAUUGUAUAGAAUCGGGUCGAGCUUGU